UACGUAGGGGGCAAGCGUUGUCCGGAAUCAUUGGGCGUAAAGAGCGUGUAGGCGGCUCGGUAAGUCCGCUCUGAAAGCCCGGGGCUCAACCCCGGGAGGCGGGCGGAUACUGUCGGGCUAGAGUCCGGAAGAGGCGAGUGGAAUUCCUGGUGUAGCGGUGAAAUGCGCAGAUAUCAGGAGGAACACCGGUGGCGAAAGCGAGCUCCUGGACGUUCACUGACGCUGAGACGCGAAAGCCAGGGGAGCGAACGGG
rnacentral:rRNA from 1 species